rnacentral:rRNA from 1 species
ACGAACCGGACAAACGUUAUUCGGAAUUAUUGGGCUUAAAGGGUGUGUAGGCGGUCAUGUAGGUGGGGUGUGAAAUCCCUCGGCUCAACCGAGGAACUGCGCUCCAAACCACACGACUAGAGGGAGACAGAGGUAAGCGGAACUGAUGGUGGAGCGGUGAAAUGCGUUGAUAUUAUCAGGAACACCAGUGGCGAAAGCGGCUUACUGGGUCUCUUCUGACGCUGAGACACGAAAGCUAGGGUAGCGAACGGG